rnacentral:rRNA from 1 species
CCUACGGGAGGCUGCAGUGAGGAAUAUUGGUCAAUGGCCGCAGGGCUGAACCAGCCAAGUCGCGUGAGGGAUGACGGUCCUAUGGAUUGUAAACCUCUUUUGUCAGGGAGCAAAGGGCGCCACGUGUGGCGCUUUGCGAGUACCUGAAGAAAAAGCAUCGGCUAACUCCGUGCCAGCAGCCGCGGUAAUACGGAGGAUGCGAGCGUUAUCCGGAUUUAUUGGGUUUAAAGGGUGCGCAGGCGGAAUGUCAAGUCAGCGGUAAAAUUUCGGGGCUCAACCCCGUCGUGCCGUUGAAACUGGCGUUCUUGAGUGAGCGAGAAGUAUGCGGAAUGCGUGGUGUAGCGGUGAAAUGCAUAGAUAUCACGCAGAACUCCGAUUGCGAAGGCAGCAUACCGGCGCUCAACUGACGCUCAUGCACGAAAGCGUGGGUAGCAAACAGGAUUAGAUACCCGAGUAGUC